rnacentral:rRNA from 1 species
AGAGUUUGAUCCUGGCUCAGGAUGAACGCUAGCGGUGUGCUUAAAGCAUGCAAGUCGAACGUGAUCCUUGGAUUCGUUCAAGGUGAAAGUGGCGAACGGGUGAGUAACGCGUUGGUGAUCUGCCCCGGAGUGGGGAAUAACUAUCGGAAACGAUAGCUAAUACCCCAGAUGUCUUCGUGUUUGGAAAGCGAUGACUAAAGUUCAGGCGCUCCGGGAGGAGCCUGCGUCCCAUCAGCUAGUUGGUAGGGUAAUGGCCUACCAAGGCACAGACGGGUAGGGGGCGUGAGAGCGUGGCCCCCCACACUGGUACUGACACACGGACCAGAUGCCUACGGGUAGCAGCAGCUAGGAAUAUUGGGCAAUGGGCGAAAGCCUGACCCAGCAACACCGCGUGGAGGACGAAGGCCUUCGGGUCGUAAACUCCUUUUCGAGGGAAUGAGAAAGGACAGUACCCUCAGAAUAAGGCCCGGCUAACUACGUGCCAGCAGCCGCGGUAAUACGUAGGGGGCAAGCGUUAUCCGGAUUCAUUGGGCGUAAAGCGCUCGUAGGCGGCUUGUUAAGUCUGGUGUGAAAUCCCGGGGCUCAACCCCGGCACGCUUCCGAUACCGGCAGGCUUGAGUUUGGUAGGGGAAAGUGGAAUUCCAAGUGUAGCGGUGGAAUGCGCAGAUAUUUGGAAGAACACCAGUGGCGAAGGCGGCUUUCUGGGCCAUAACUGACGCUGAGGAGCGAAAGCUAGGGGAGCAAACAGGAUUAGAUACCCUGGUAGUCCUAGCC